rnacentral:miRNA from 1 species
UUGGGAAUGGCGGAAGAGCAGACU